rnacentral:lncRNA from 1 species
UGCUAAAUUGAAACACGACUAUACACAGCUCCUAAACUGGAGUGGUCAAUCCCAUCUUAACACACGCAUCGACAAGUCAAGUACUUGACUACACCCAGCAGCCUUCCGUCACUGAAUUAGAAAUUCAGGUAGUCCAAUGCCUAAGUGCAGUGAGUUGCUUGCAAGUCACCGUGGCGGUCUCAGGUCGGAGGGACAUUUAUACCCAUAUUCCACCGGAGCAAAUCUUGACAGCAGAAAUAG